rnacentral:rRNA from 1 species
UGAAUACGAGACGCUAAGGCGUCGAAGUAGUGUAUGUCAUACUUCCAAGAAAAGCUUGCACUGUCAUAGAUAAAAAACGCCUGUACCAUAACCGACACAGGUGGGUAGGUAGAGUAUACUAAGGGGCGCGAGAUAACUCUCUCUAAGGAACUCGGCAAAAUAACUCCGUAACUUCGGGAGAAGGAGUGCCUUAUUCGUAAGGUUGCAAUAACAAGAUCCAAGCAACUGUUUAUCAAAAACACAGGUCUCCGCUAAGUCGUAAGACGAUGUAUGGGGGCUGACGCCUGCCCAGUGCCAGAAGGUUAAAGAAGUUGGUUAGCAAUUGCGAAGCUGAUAACUGAAGCCCUGGUGAACGGCGGCCGUAACAAUAACGGUCCUAAGGUAGCGAAAUUCCUUGUCGGGUAAGUUCCGACCCGCACGAAAGGCGUAAUGAUUUGGAUACUGUCUCGGAGAGGGGCUCGGUGAAAUAGACUUGUCUGUGAAGAUGCGGACUACCUGCACCAGGACAGAAAGACCCUAUGAAGCUUUACUGUAACUUGAAAUUGAAAUUGGACUUUAUUUGCGCAGUAUAGGUGGGAGGCGUUGAUUAUAAUCUUGUGGGAUUAUUGGAGCCAUCAGUGAGAUACCACUCUUGUAAUGUUAGAUUUCUAACUUUGAAUCAUUAUCUGGUCAAAGAACAGUUUCAGGCGGGCAGUUUGACUGGGGCGGUCGCCUCCUAAACGGUAACGGAGGCGUACAAAGGUUUCCUCUGAACGGUUAGAAAUCGUAUCUAGAGUGUAAAGGCAUAAGGAAGCUUGACUGUGAGACCUACAAGUCGAGCAGGGACGAAAGUCGGUCUUAGUGAUCUGACGGUACUGAGUGGAAAGGCCGUCACUCAACGGAUAAAAGUUACUCUAGGAUAACAGGCUGAUCUCCCCCAAGAGUUCACAUCGACGGGGAGGUUUGGCACCUCGAUGUCGGCUCAUCGCAUCCUGGGGCGGUAGUACGUCCCAAGGGUUGGGCUGUUCGCCCAUGAAAGCGGUACGCGAGCUGGGUUCAGAACGUCGUGAGACAGUUCGGUCCAUAUCCGGUGUAGGCGUUAGAAUAUUGAGAGGAGCCUUCUUUAGUACGAGAGGACCGAGAAGGACAUACCUCUGGUGUACCAGUUAUCGUGCCAACGGUAAACGCUGGGUAGCUAUGUAUGGAGUGGAUAACCGCUGAAAGCAUCUAAGUGGGAAGCCCACCUCAAGAUAAG